AGGGCAAGUCUGGUGCCAGCAGCCGCGGUAAUUCCAGCUCCAAUAGCGUAUAUUAAAGUUGUUGCAGUUAAAAAGCUCGUAGUUGAAUUUCGGGGUUAGUAGGUUGGUCAUGCCACUGGUAUGUACUGAUCUUACUGAUUCCUCCUUCCUGAUGAACCGUAAUGCCAUUAAUUUGGUGUUGCGGGGAGACUGGACUGUUACUUUGAAAAAAUUAGAGUGUUUAAAGCAGGCUAACGCUUGAAUACAUUAGCAUGGAAUAAUGAAAUAGGUCGUUCGAUCCUAUUUUGUUGGUUUCUAGGAUUGACGUAAUGAUUAAUAGGGAUAGUUGGGGGCAUUAGUAUUCAAUUGUCAGAGGUGAAAUUCUUGGAUUUAUUGAAGACUAACUACUGCGAAAGCAUUUGCCAAGGAUGUUUUCAUUAAUCAAGAACGAAAGUUAGGGGAUCGAAGACGAUCAGAUACCGUCGUAGUCUUAACCAUAAACUAUGCCGACUAGGGAUCGGAUGAUGUUAAUUUUUUAAUGACUCAUUCGGCGCCUUACGGGAA
rnacentral:rRNA from 1 species